UGGGGAAUUUUGGACAAUGGGCGCAAGCCUGAUCCAGCAAUGCCGCGUGUGUGAAGAAGGCCUUCGGGUUGUAAAGCACUUUUAUCAGGAGCGAAACGCUGUCGGCUAAUACCCGGCGGAACUGACGGUACCUGAGGAAUAAGCACCGGCUAACUUCGUGCCAGCAGCCGCGGUAAUACGAAGGGUGCAAGCGUUAAUCGGAAUUACUGGGCGUAAAGCGUGCGUAGGCGGUUUCUUAAGUCUGCUGUGAAAUCCCCGGCUCAACCUGGGAAUGGCAGUGGAUACUGGGAGGCUAGAGUGUGUCAGAGGGUGGUGGAAUUCCCGGUGUAGCGGUGAAAUGCGUAGAGAUCGGGAGGAACAUCAGUGGCGAAGGCGGCCACCUGGGACAACACUGACGCUGAGGCACGAAAGCGUGGGGAGCAAACAGGAUUAGAUACCCUGGUAGUCCACGCCCUAAACGAUGCGAACUGGAUGUCGGUCCUCAACUCGGAGAUCAGUGUCGAAGCUAACGCGUUAAGUUCGCCGCCUGGGGAGUACGGUCGCAAGACUGAAACUCAAAGGAAUUGACGGGGUCAUAGCUGUUUCCU
rnacentral:rRNA from 1 species